UUUGUCUUCUUUAAAAAACAAAACCACGCCACCAAACAAACAAACUUACAGCUUCGUAACUAAUAAAACAGAGUAAAUGAGCGAAGCACUCAACAGAGACUACCAAAUCUGCGAGGAGAUCGGCCGUGGACGAUUUGGUAUUGUUUUCAGGUGCAUCUCUCGCUCCACUGGCGAUUCUUUCGCUGUCAAAUCCAUCGUCAAGAGUCUCGUCUCUGGCGACUCCCUAGAAGCGCAAUGCCUCUUAACAGAGCCCAAGACCCUCCACCUCCUUUCUCCUCACCCCCACAUAAUCCAACUCCACAACCUCUACGAAGACGAAACUCACCUUCACAUGGUCAUCGAUUUAUGCUCUAAACAAGACCUUCACGAUUUGAUAAUCACUAACGGGGUUCUUUCAGAGAACGAAGCUAGAGUGGUUUUCACUCAACUGAUGAAAGCUAUCUCUCACUGUCAUACAUACGGCAUCGUUCAUCGAGACAUCAAACCUGAAAACAUCUUAUUUGACGAGGGGAAUGCAAUUAAGGUAGCGGAUUUUGGAUCUUCUGAGGUUGUAAUGGAAGGGGAGAUGGUGAAUGGUGUAGUGGGGACACCGUAUUAUGUGCCCCCUGAGGUUUUGUUGGGAAAAGAGUACGGAGAGAAGGUGGAUGUGUGGAGUGCUGGGGUGGUGUUGUACAUAAUGUUAACUGGAUUUCCGCCGUUUUAUGGGGAAACAGUGGUGGAGAUAUUUGAGGCGGUUUUGAGAGGGAAUUUGAGGUUUUCUGCAAGAGUUUUUCAGUCGGCGUCGACAAGUGUUAAAGAUCUUUUACGGAGGAUGCUCUGUAAAGAUGUCUCCAGGCGAUUUUCUGCUGAACAAGUGCUAAGACAUCCAUGGGUAGCAAAUGCGGCUGGUUUAACAUGAAGGGACAGGGGGCUUAGACUGAGUAAAGACAUGCUUGUAUAGUAUAGAUGUGUGUGCUUGGUAGUAGUGUGCAUACGGCAUAGAGAGCAGCAGCAGCUGCAGCAGCGAGUAUCCUACUGGGUUUUCACUUAGAAAGAGGAUGAGUUUUCUCUCCUUUCAGUUUUUUUUCCCUGGGAAAAGAUGAGAGAGACAACAGUUGAAACCAGAGAAAAACGGUCAUGCUUUCCAUUGGUUGCAAAAAGGCUGUGGAAGAAGGAAGAAUUGAUGCAAGUCUGGAUUCCUCAGUGGCCAUUCAGAACCCAAAGUCUGUGUAAGAAAAAUCACAAAAAUUACGAAAAGGAGCGUGGAAAUGAUAGUUAUGCGCUCAUAAAGUUAAGGUUCUGCUUAAGAGUCUGAUAAAGAUGCAAAUCAUGAGAAGGUUAUGAGAAAAUGAAGCGCACUUACUGCUUGUUGCGAUAUGAAAAGGAUAUCAUUAAUGUACUGCUAACACAGUCCCAGGCAACAAGCGUAGGAUAAAGUAGAAUCAAAGAUGCCUGUCUUCUUUGGAUUGGACUCUCGGUGGAACAGGGAGAUAUUUAGCUUAUGAAGCGUGCUAAAGGCACCUUAAACCAUGCUGGUUUCAAUGAAGGAAAGGAUUAAUUAAUUUAGCUGGGAGCCUGCUUGCUGCCUAGUAAGCAUCCAGGAGUGUUGUGGCUGUAAGCCUGUUAGGGUGCUUCUCCACUUCUUUGAACAUACAGAAAGUUCUUUGCCUUUUAACUACCGAGCUACGCUAUUCUUGUUAAGCAUAACAUCAUUCAUGCAAGGGCU